rnacentral:lncRNA from 1 species
GGAAUGGGUGCAGCUUCUGGUUGCACCACCACUUACAAGAAGCAACACCGUAAGAGAAAGGGCAAGAAUGGUUACCGCAGCGGCAGUGGCAGCGACUGUAGCGACAGCAGCGAUGAUGAACGUCGCUGCUAGAUAACUACAGGUAACUGUUCAUAAUAAGUGAAAUUAGUUAUCUGAAAAAUUUAAAUACACAAACUGUUAUAACAAGCUAAACUGAACUGGUAGUGUAAAAAUUCUUUUACGCAGGUAUGGUAAGUAGCAGUCUGGCUUAUGAGAAGGAAGAGAGUGAAAUUCCUUGUACUAGCUAGAGAUUAUAUAACAAUAAAUAAAAAGCAAAUUUCAGCCAUGGCUAGCUAUUGACUACUGAAGUUAUGAACCUACUAUGGAGCUUGAGAAUUUAUGUGUGUGUUGGUGUAUUACGUACUUUAUAAUAAUGUAACUGCUUAUUCCCUUUGAAAAUAAAUCUAUGAGAAAAUAACCUCAAAAAAGGUCGUAAUGGUGUGUGCUAUGUUUUCUGCAUGAUAUAAAAUAGCUAUGAAUUUAAUAUUGUCUAUGUAAAUUUAUUUUAAACUUGCUAUUUAAAUAUAUCCAUAAAUUACAAUGUGU